rnacentral:lncRNA from 10 species
AUCGUAAAAGCAGUUGAGUUCUUGAUUUGAUUCUCCACUUGAUCGCUGUUGGUGUACAGAAGAUCUACUAAUUUGCAUACAUUAAUUUUGUAUCUGGAAAAUUUGCUGAAUUCUUCUAUCAGUUCUAGGAGCGUUCUGGAGGAGUCUUUGGAUUUUGAGGAUGCUGUCUUCUGAUGAAAACAGAAUCAGAAUGAGUGAAACAUGGAAGUUUGAAAAGAGUGAACAUCAACACUGGAAACUCAAGAGUGUGUUAAACAGAGAAAAUUAAUAGAAACCAGGAAACACUUAAGGUGUAUUUGAAGUUUGUUGUCUUGAAUUGAUGUAUUAAUUAACUCUGGAAUCAAUUUACUGUAUUUGGUGAACCCAGCUUUCAGUGGAGUUCUUCUUAAUUUUCGCCUACUGUUCUACUUGUUCCAAAUGUGUGUAUCAUGUAUUUUUUCUUUUAGAUUUUUCUACCUAAUUAGCUUUGAUUCUGUCAUCAGGAUUGAUUUUGGCUAAAAUAAAACACAUAUAUGUCUUUUAGUGGCUUACCAAUUAAUUUUCCUUAUACAAUAAAAGGUCUCAAGAUAGAGUUCUUUCAGUAGGGCGAAAAUAUCAAGGCUCUAGAGGGAGGUAUAUGCAAAUAUUUUGAUUUUUCUUUCAUGAUUAUAA